AUUGGACGCUGGCGGCAUGCCUUACACAUGCAAGUCGAACGGCAGCACGGACUUCGGUCUGGUGGCGAGUGGCGAACGGGUGAGUAAUGUAUCGGAACGUACCUUUCAGUGGGGGAUAACGUAGCGAAAGUUACGCUAAUACCGCAUAUUCUGUGAGCAGGAAAGCAGGGGAUCGAAAGACCUUGCGCUGAUUGAGCGGCCGAUAUCAGAUUAGCUAGUUGGUGGGGUAAAGGCCUACCAAGGCGACGAUCUGUAGCGGGUCUGAGAGGAUGAUCCGCCACACUGGAACUGAGACACGGUCCAGACUCCUACGGGAGGCAGCAGUGGGGAAUUUUGGACAAUGGGGGCAACCCUGAUCCAGCCAUGCCGCGUGAGUGAAGAAGGCCUUCGGGUUGUAAAGCUCUUUCGGCCGGGAAGAAAUCGCAUAGGCUAAUACCUUGUGUGGAUGACGGUACCGGAAUAAGAAGCACCGGCUAACUACGUG
rnacentral:rRNA from 1 species